UACAGAGGUCUCAAGCGUUGUUCGGAUUCAUUGGGCGUAAAGGGUGCGUAGGCGGCGCGGUAAGUCGGGUGUGAAAUCUCGGGGCUUAACUCCGAAACUGCAUUCGAUACUGCCGUGCUUGAGGACUGGAGAGGAGAGUGGAAUUCCUGGUGUAGCGGUGAAAUGCGCAGAUAUCAGGAGGAACACCCGUGGCGAAAGCGGCUCUCUGGGACGGUACUGACGCUGAGACGCGAAAGCGUGGGGAGCAAACAGG
rnacentral:rRNA from 1 species